UACGGGGGGGGCAAGCGUUGUUCGGAAUUACUGGGCGUAAAGGGCUCGUAGGCGGCCAACUAAGUCAGACGUGAAAUCCCUCGGCUUAACCGGGGAACUGCGUCUGAUACUGGAUGGCUUGAGAUUGGGAGAGGGAUGCGGAAUUCCAGGUGUAGCGGUGAAAUGCGUAGAUAUCUGGAGGAAUACCGGGGGGGAAGGCGGCAUCCUGGACCGGCAUUGACGCUGAGUGAGCGAAAGCCAGGGGAGCAAACGGG
rnacentral:rRNA from 1 species